GCCAAAUGCGAUGCCCGGUAGCUAAAUGCGGAAGAGAUAAGUGCUGAAAGCAUCUAAGCACGAAACUUGCCCCGAGAUGAGUUCUCCCUGAGACUUUAAGUCUCCUGAAGGAACGUUAAAGACGAUGACGUUGAUAGGCCGGGUGUGUAAGCGCAGCGAUGCGUUGAGCUAACCGGUACUAAUGAACCGUGAGGCUUAACCUUACAACGCCGAAG
rnacentral:rRNA from 1 species